UACAGAGGGUGCGAGCGUUGUUCGGAAUUAUUGGGCGUAAAGCGCUUGUAGGCGGCACGUCAAGUCGCGUGUGAAAUCCCCAGGCUUAACCUGGGAAGUGCGCGCGAAACUGACGAGCUUGAGUGCCGGAGAGGGUCGCGGAAUUCCCGGUGUAGAGGUGAAAUUCGUAGAUAUCGGGAGGAAAACCAGUGGCGAAGGCGGCAUCCUGGACCGACACUGACGCUGAUGAGCGAAAGCCAGGGGAGCAAACGGG
rnacentral:rRNA from 1 species